rnacentral:rRNA from 1 species
CCCAGACUCCUACGGGAGGCAGCAGUGGGGGAUAUUGCACAAUGGGGGGAACCCUGAUGCAGCGACGCCGCGUGGGUGAAGGAGCGUUUCGGCGCGUAAAGCCCUAUCGGCAGGGAAGAAGGAGGACGGUACCUGACUAAGAAGCCCCGGCUAACUACGUGCCAGCAGCCGCGGUAAUACGUAGGGGGCAAGCGUUAUCCGGAUUUACUGGGUGUAAAGGGGGCGCAGACGGCAGCGCAAGCCAGGAGUGAAAGCCCGGGGCCCAACCCCGGGACUGCUCUUGGAACUGCGCGGCUGGAGUGCAGGAGGGGCAGGCGGAAUUCCUGGUGUAGCGGUGAAAUGCGUAGAUAUCAGGAGGAACACCGGUGGCGAAGGCGGCCUGCUGGACUGCGACUGACGUUGAGGCCCGAAAGCGUGGGGAGCAAACAGGAUUAGAUACCCCUGUACC